UACGUAGGGUGCGAGCGUUAAUCGGAAUUACUGGGCGUAAAGUGUGCGCAGGCGGCCGAGCAAGUCGAGUGUGAAAGCCCCGAGCUUAACUUGGGAACUGUGCUCGAAACUACUUGGCUAGAGUGUGGCAGAGGGAGGUGGAAUUCCACGUGUAGCGGUGAAAUGCGUAGAGAUGUGGAGGAACACCGAUGGCGAAGGCAGCCUCCUGGGCCAACACUGACGCUCAUGCACGAAAGCGUGGGGAGCAAACAGG
rnacentral:rRNA from 1 species